UGGGGAAUUUUGGACAAUGGGCGAAAGCCUGAUCCAGCAAUGCCGCGUGUGUGAAGAAGGCCUUCGGGUUGUAAAGCACUUUUGUCCGGAAAGAAAUCCUUGGCUCUAAUACAGUCGGGGGAUGACGGUACCGGAAGAAUAAGCACCGGCUAACUACGUGCCAGCAGCCGCGGUAAUACGUAGGGUGCAAGCGUUAAUCGGAAUUACUGGGCGUAAAGCGUGCGCAGGCGGUUUGCUAAGACCGAUGUGAAAUCCCCGGGCUCAACCUGGGAACUGCAUUGGUGACUGGCAGGCUAGAGUAUGGCAGAGGGGGGUUAGAAUUCCACGUGUAGCAGUGAAAUGCGUAGAGAUGUGGAGGAGUACCGAUGGCGAAGGCAGCCCCCUGGGCAAUACUGACGCUCAUGCACGAAAGCGUGGGGAGCAAACAGGAUUAGAUACCCUGGUAGUCCACGCCCUAAACGAUGUCAACUAGUUGUUGGGGGUUCAUUUCCUUAGUAACGUAGCUAACGCGCGAAG
rnacentral:rRNA from 1 species